rnacentral:rRNA from 1 species
GGUUAGACGAAGAAUCUAAAUAGAAUAAUUUACAAUAUUAAUUAACUGCGGGUACCUAUUAGUUAAUAAAUCUUUUUUUUUAAGUGAAAUUUGUAUAAAAAGAAGAAAUUUUCUUUUAGGUAACUAGAGGAAUUAAAAAAUAAAGACUAAAAACCAGGAUUAGAUACCCUGUUAUUCUUUACAAUACCUAGUGGGGUAGUAAAAGUAGUACUUCAAACCCAAAGGUUUUGGCGGCAUUCUAACCAAACAGAGGAGCUUGUCUUAUAAUCGAUAACCCCCGUUAUAUCUUACCCCUACUUGUCUAGCUUGUAUACCUCCGUUGUCAGAUUACUCUAAAAGGAUGUUUUCUUCAAAAAAAUUUAUUUUUUACUUCAGGUCAAGGUGCAGUUUAUGUGGGGGCAAUGAUGAGCUACAGUUUUUAAAAAAAAUUACGGAUAUUUAAAUUAAAAUUUAAUUGAAGGUGGAUUUGUUAGUAAAUUUAGCUUAAGGAAAGCUAAUUGAAUGAGGCAAUAGAAUGUGUACAUAUCGCCCGUCACUCUCCUUUUAAGAGGAGAUAAGUCGUAACA